CCAGGACCCUUGCCCCUGCCUGAUCAUUAACCUUGCUGGAAAACGGCGCUGGCGGCUGCCCCCCCCCCCCCAGCCCCUCACCGGCAUGUGAGCCGCGCCGCCAGCCUCUUACAGCCACGCGGGCGGCUACUCUAUACGUUUUUUCGCCUAUAGACAUACCCCCCCCCCCCCCCCCCCAGAACGGGCAUCUACGCUGACCGCAGACAUGAGACUCCAGCUGCUCCUUUGUAUCGUGGUUUUUGUCCUGGCGAGCCUCCUCCCUGCCGACGGACAGAGGCCAGCCAACCUGGCCCUGCGCAGGAAGCUCCACCGGCACGGCUGCUCCCACCGGCGCUGCAUGCCGCUUCACUCCCGGGUGCCCUUCCCCUGAGCCCCCGGCGGAGCCCGGGCGAGGGCUCCGGGCAGGCGCGGGGCCGCCGCUUCCCCUGCGCUCGCCGGCGGACCGCCCGCUCCGCCCGGGGCGCGGGUCUCGCUUGCCGCCGCUCCCCCCCCUCCGCCCCGCCGCAAACGCCUUCGCCGAGGCAGAGUGGGAGAUAACCGAGUCUGCUCGCUAGGGCGAACUACAGCCCCACGAACGGCAGUUUCAUAAUGGGCUUUUCAGUGUUUUAAAGGAGCAACAAUUAAACCAACAGAGAAGUUAGUCAGAAGUCCAGAUCGUCAACAGCUGACCUGAUAGAGCCACCGCACCGCAGUCCCAUCUUCAGCAGUCCUGUCUGUCACGUUCGGCAAGACCUGGAACAAAGGCCCCUGGCUCACACCCUAGGAGACGGGGGCAAGAAACAGAGGGUGGUGAUGGGAGGAUGUACAUGAAACUUACCUGGUUGAGACAUUUCCUAUAAAUUCUUUGGCUCUCAUAAUGACUAGUGAAAGUUAAAGACCAAAUCAAACAUCGGGUACAUGAGAUGGAUUUCCAGUAGCAUUAAGAAGGAUCUGUCCAAGGGGACUCUUAAUGGUCUGUACUGUUCAGACUGAGAGAAAAUGGAUGUGCUGUUGACUGCUCAAUUCAGGCUGCCUAGGGCAGUAGUUAGGGUGAAAUAAUAUCAGACUCCAGAACAGAACUGUGAAAGUCCGUUUUUUGUUUAUACUUUCAUAUAUUAAUAAUAUAUACAUACAUGUUGUAACACCUAACAUUACAUCUUUGUGGAAUUACCUUAAUAACAACAACACAGAAUGUAUUACUGUAAUAGUACCAAAGUCAGCACCACAGUAGUGGUCCUACUGGCUUUGUGUAUAGUAAGCCCAGUAAGAGUUUACAAUAUAAGAAGGCAAAGAGAGUAUUAUCCCUGGUUCUAUAGAUAGAGAAUUGAAGCACACAGAGAUAAGAGAUUAGCCAAGGGUCAUGCAAAACUGAUAACUUGAAUCUCUCAAGUCAGGCCUUAAGGUCAAGCCCAUCCUCCUGUCUAAUUAGCUGUUACUGCGAAGUCUAUCAUUUGUUUUCUUAAACUGGGCUGCCAAACCAGACAGCUAAAACAUACUUGGAAAUUUGGUACUAUAGAACUAUUUGCUUAAUAGUAGCUUUCCUAAAAUACCCACUACAGUAUUCUAAAUGGAGCAUAAAAAUAGACCAUUAAAAAGAAACCUUUGUUUUGUCAACCCCAGUGUUACGUAGUACUCUAUUCCUGUAAUUUAAAUGAAUGGGAUAUUUGGAACACAGCACUACAAUGAAUGAGAACUUCAAACAGAGAACAGGCUGUUCUUUUCAGCACCAGAAGUCAAGAAUACAUUGAGCUUUUAUCUUAUGUUUUGUUUUUAAAAAUACACAUUUCACAUCUCCUUUUUAUAUCAGCAGAAAUUACAAACCUACAUAUAAAGGAAAACAUGGUAGCCCUUUCAUUAGCAGACCCUUUCAUUAGCAGAACUAAAACCAACCUGAAAAUAAGUCAUACCAGAUUUUUAAGUCAUUGCACUAGACUUGAAAAGUCAACAUUUUUUGUAAAUUGUAUAAAGAUGAGUGAAGAUCAGCAGUGUUAUGGUUUAAAUCCAGUAUUAGAAUUUUGUCUUGCAACACAUAGUUGCAAGACAACUUUCUAGUAACUAUGUAUCCAUGGCUAUCUCUGUUUAGAAGUACAGGUAAAGAGUAUGGGAAAGCAAGAAAGGUGAAGAGUAACUAUUCAGCAAUUAAGUCUUAUAAAUGAGUAUAUAGAUUUAGUGUGGCACUGGAUAUUUUAUAUAACCAUAAUUAUUCAAUUAACUUUCAUAAAAUUGUAAGAAAAACAUAAUGUAUCUAUUAGAGAGCUAUAUAUGCAUGUUCUUUUACAGAUGUAAGAAUAAAUAAAACAACAAAUACCAAAGUGUCCUAGGAAGCCUGUUGUCCGUCUACAAAAUUAUUGUAAAUGUCUAUUCUUUUUAGACAUGCUGAUACCAUAAAAUCUUCCUUGAAAAGAUAUUGUGAUCUUUGAUAGAAAUGUUUUAUCAACUAGCUGGUUGAUUGUAUAUUUUGUAAAAAGAUAGUAUGCACUUCAAAUAACUUCUCAUUUUAAAUAAACUUUGUACACUUUUCAAAAUUUAUAUUCUUCAGCUGUCAAAGGCAAUGCAUCUAAUGAAAAUAAAGAAUUUGUCUAUUUUCCGUGUGGAUUCAUAUGGAAUCGGCACAUAAAAAUUUUUCUUACUCAAUUUCUGACACAAAUAAAUAGUAGUUAUUCAUGAAAA